rnacentral:rRNA from 1 species
CCUACGGGAGGCAGCAGUGGGGGAUAUUGCACAAUGGGGGGAACUCUGAUGCAGCGACGCCGCGUGGGUGAAGAAGCGCCUCGGCGCGUAAAGCCCUGUCAGCAGGGAAGAAAAUGACGGUACCUGAAGAAGAAGCCACGGCUAACUACGUGACAGCAGCCGCGGUAAUACGGAGGGGGCAAGCGUUAUCCGGAUUUACUGGGUGUAAUGGGGGCGCAGACGGCGAUGCAAGCCAGGAGUGAAAGCCCGGGGCCCAACCCCGGAACUGCUCUUGGAACUGCGUGGCUGGAGUGCAGGAGCGGCAGGCGGAAUGCCUGGUGGAGCGGUGAAAUGCGUAGAUAUCAGGAGGAACACCGGUGGCGAAGGCGGCCUGCUGGACUGCAACUGACGUUGAGGCCCGAAAGCGUGGGGAGCAAACAGGAUUAGAUACCCGGGUAGUC